rnacentral:rRNA from 1 species
CCUACGGGAGGCUGCAGUGAGGGAUAUUGGUCAAUGGCCGUAAGGCUGAACCAGCCAAGUCGCGUGAAGGAAGAAGGAUCUAUGGUUUGUAAACUUCUUUUAUAGGGGAAUAAAGGUAUCCACGUGUGGAUAUUUGCAUGUACCCUAUGAAUAAGCAUCGGGUAACUCCGUGCCAGAAGCCGCGGUAAUACGGAGGAUGCGAGCGUUAUCCGGAUUUAUUGGGUGUAAAGGGUGCGUAGGUUGUUUGUUAAGUCAGCGGGGAAAGUUUGUGGCUCAACCAUAAAAUUGCCGUUGAAACUGGAAGACUUGAGUGUGUUUGAGGUAGGCGGAAUGCGUGGUGUAGCGGUGAAAUGCAUAGAUAUCACGCAGAACUCCGAUUGCGAAGGCAGCUUACGAAGCCAUAACUGACACUGAAGCACGAAAGCGUGGGGAUCAAACAGGAUUAGAUACCCGGGUAGUC